rnacentral:rRNA from 1 species
AUGGAGGCUACGACCAUCAGCAUUGGCAAGUCCGUGUUGAGCGGGGCUCUCAACUACGCCCAAUCCGCUGUUGCCGAGGAGGUGGCUCUGCAGCUUGGUGUCCAGCGUGACCACUGCUUCAUUUCGGACGAGCUUGAGAUGAUGCAGUCAUUCCUGAUGGCUGCGCACGACGAGCGAGAUGACAAUAAGGUGGUCAGGACUUGGGUGAAACAAGUCCGCGAUGUGUCCUACGCCGUCGAGGACUGUCUCCAUGAUUGUGCCGUUCGUCUUCAGAAGCAGUCUUGGUGGCGCAUCCCUCGCAAGCUGCUAGACCGGCGUUGUGUGGCGAAGCAGAUGAAGGAGCUUAGAAUCAAGGUGGAGGAUGUCAGCCAGAGGAACCAACGGUACCACCUCAUCAAGGGUUCUAGCUCCAAGCCUACCUCCAUUGUUGGGCAGCCUACCAUCUCCAGCGCAACGAUGUCGGCUGCCGAUGAUGCAAGGCUACUGCGGCAGAAAGCAAAAAUGGAUCUCGUCAAGUUGAUCAAUUGCAAGGAUGAUGCACUUCGAGUGAUAGCGUUGUGGGGCACAAGUAGCAGUGAUCUUGGGGAGAUAUCCAUCAUUCGAAGUGCCUAUGAAGAUCCCAUGAUACACAAGAAUUUUGAUUGCUGUGCUUGGAUCACAUUGAUGUGCCCUUUCAAUCAGACAGAUUUCAUUCGAAGCAUCAUUAGGCAAAUUUAUGUUAAUUCUCUUCAAGAAACAGGAAAAGAAGGAAAAUCAGCUAUUGGGGCCCAAGUUUUGAGGAUGAUGGCAACGAUGAAAGAAGAUGGUUUGGCUCAUGAGUUCGAGAGAUAUUUGAAUUUCAAGAGUUACCUAAUUGUACUUAAUGGCAUACGCACCAUCGAAGAGUGGGAUUGCAUUAAAACAUGUUUCCCAAACAACAAGGAAGGAAGUCGAAUCAUAGUAUCCACUGAGAAUGUUGAAGUUGCAAGCUUAUGCAUAGGAGCAGAGGAUGAAGCUCUGGAGCAUAAGAAGUUAUUUGUUGAUCGAUCUCUUUAUGCUUUCUACAGUAAGGUUUCUCAGGAGGGAAGGAAUUCGGAGGAAAAAGGGUCCACCUCAUAUGUAACCCCUAGCGUUGUUAACAGCUCUGCACACAAGAACAUCCUCACUCGUAUGGAGACAAUGGCUACUCUAGAGGAAUCUCGCCUCAUCGGGAGAGGGAAUGAAAAAGAGGAAAUCAUCAAACUAAUCUCAAAUAAAGAUCCCCAGCAAUUUCAUGUGUUCUCCUUGUGGGGAAUGGGUGGUAUUGGAAAAACAACACUAGUGAGGGAUAUCUAUCAAAGCCAAGAGAUUAGUAGCAUGUUUGAUAAGCGUGCUUGUGUCACAGUCAUGCGUCCUUUCAAUCCAGCAACACUCCUUGGGAGCUUAGCUAUGCAAUUCGGAGGUAAAAAUGGGACAGAUUUAAGGACAUGUUUAGAAGGAAAGAGAUAUUUGCUUGUUCUUGAUGAUCUGUGGUCCUUAUUAGAGUUGGGUGCUAUAAAACAAUAUUUGCCAGAAACGGCAGCAAGCUGCAUUAUAGUCACCACAAGGGAAGAGAAUAUUGCGAAGCACUGCUCCAAGGAUGAAAGAAAUAUAUACCCUCUUCACCAUCUGGGUCUUGUUGAUGCAUGUACCCUCUUCAACAAAAAGGUAUUUAAGGAGACCGUAAAUUUGGAUGAGCAAUAUCCAGAGUUGGUUGAAGAAGCAAAACUGAUAUUGAAGAAGUGCAGAGGACUUCCCCUUGCACUAGUCACCAUAGGUGGCUUCUUGGCAAGCCAACCAAAAACUGCUUUUGAGUGGAGAAAAUUGAAUGAGCAUAUUACUGCUGAAUUGGAGAUGAAUCCAGAACUUGAGAUCAUAAAAGCAGUCCUUAUGAAAAGCUAUGAUGGUUUACCCUAUCACCUCAAGGCCUGUUUCUUGUAUCUGGCUAUCUUUCCUGAAGACUACAUGAUUGCACGGAGACGCUUAGUGCGUCGGUGGAUUGCAGAGGGUUACUCAAGUGAGGUGCGUGGCAAGUCUGUGGAGGAAGUAUUGGACUCUUACUUCAUGGAACUCAUAGGCAGAAGCAUGAUUCUGCCGUCUCAACAGUCAAUUCAUAGUAGGAAAGGAAUUGACUCUUGCCAUGUCCAUGAUCUCAUUCGUGAAAUUGCCAUCUCAAAGUCUAUGGAGGAGAAUCUUGUUUUCACAUUGGAGGAAGGGUGCAGCUUAAAUAACCAAGGCACAGUGCGUCAUCUUGUUGUAAGCAACAAUUGGAAGGGGGAUCAAAGCGAGUUUGAGAAUAUAGUAGACUUGUCCCAUGUACGAUCGUUGACAGUGUUUGGAAAUUGGAGGCCAUUUUAUAUUUCGGAUAAGAUGAGGUUACUACGAGUGCUGGAUUUGGAAGGCAAUUGGGAUCUAUUUAAUCAUCACCUUCAGCACAUUGGGAAGCUUCUACACCUUAGAUAUCUUUCUCUAAGGGGACAUGCUGAUGUAUUUCACCUACCAAAUUCGCUGGGGAACCUGAAACAACUCCAGACAUUAGAUAUUUCAGGUACAAGCAUAGUAAAGCUACCAAGGACCAUCAUCAAGCUUGUGAAGAUGCAACGCAUUCUUGCUGGCAGCAUAGGAGAGAGAAAUAGCAAUAUAUUUGAUGGUGCAGAUGAGCAGUCACUAAUGAGUUUGCCUUUAUAUUCAGCAUUGUGUUGUAUGGCAUGUUGUGCACCUAAAUUUCUGGCAGACGGUCUUGAACUUGACAAUGAAGCUCAACUUAGCAGGCGUGAUGUAUGCACUGCGUUCUGUUGCAGCAUAUUACCUUAUUAUGCGGCAGGAGGACGAAAUCCAGGUGGUGUUGAAAUGCCAAGAGGGAUUUGGAAACUGAAGGCGCUGCACACACUUCAUACUGUGGACAUAUCAGUGGGGAAGACUGUUCUACAAGAUAUAAAAAGGUUAACCCGGUUACACAAGUUAGGACUGACAGGCAUCAACAAGAGAAAUGCUCGAGAGUUGUGUUCAGCACUUGCUUGUCUCAGCAGCGUGGAGUCAUUGUCAUUGCGGUCACGCGGAAACACAGGUUUAUUCGGCUGCUUGGAUGGCCUGUCCUCACCUCCAGAAAACCUGCAGAGCCUCAAGUUGAGAGGCAACCUGGCUAAACUGCCAGAGUGGAUCCAAGGACUCAAAAAUCUUGUGAAGCUGAAGCUAGAGGGGUCGAGAAUAUGGGAGCAUGAUGUGGCCAUACAAGUCCUUGGGAAUCUACCUAACCUUUCCACCAUACGUCUAUUGAAGGGCUCGUUCGUUGGUGAAGAAGUCCGUUUCAAUUUCCAUUGGGAGGCAUUCCUGAGCCUGAAGGUGCUGCAGCUGCAUUCUAUAGAAAACCUCAAGUCGGUGUGGUUUGAAGGACGAGCAUCCCCUAAGCUUGAGUUGCUGCAGUAUUCUGAUGAGGAUAUACCCAAAGUUGGGUUGUUCUGUGGGUUGUCAUAUCUCCUAAGCCUCAAGGAAUUUAUGCUGCAUAGGUCGGACUGGCAUAAGAGCGAGUUUGUGGAGGACCUGCGCUGCCAGCUCACAGAGAAUAUUAAUGGACCCAUUUUGAAGAGUUGGCAGUAG